AUUGAACGCUGGCGGCAUGCCUUACACAUGCAAGUCGAACGGUAACGUGGGGCAACCUGGCGACGAGUGGCGAACGGGUGAGUAAUGCAUCGGAACGUGCCUGGUAGUGGGGGAUAACUGCUCGAAAGAGCAGCUAAUACCGCAUACGACCUGAGGGUGAAAGGGGGGGAUCGCAAGACCUCUCGCUAUCGGAGCGGCCGAUGUCGGAUUAGCUAGUUGGUGGGGUAAAGGCCCACCAAGGCAACGAUCCGUAGCUGGUCUGAGAGGACGACCAGCCACACUGGGACUGAGACACGGCCCAGACUCCUACGGGAGGCGGCAGUGGGGAAUUUUGGACAAUGGACGCAAGUCUGAUCCAGCAAUGCCGCGUGCGGGAAGAAGGCCUUCGGGUUGUAAACCGCUUUUGUCUGGGAAGAAAUCUUCUGGGUUAAUACUGGGGGCUAAUGACGGUACCGUAAGAAUAAGCACCGGCUAACUACGUGCCAGCCGCCGCGGUAAAAC
rnacentral:rRNA from 1 species